UGAACUUCUAAUUUCUCUUGCAGGCCUUUCUAGAGGUUGAUAUUGUUGCAUAUGGAGGUAUGCUUGUAUCUUAUUAUGGCUGAGUGAAAAGUAACUCUUAUUCGUUAGUCAAAUUCUCUAGGUUCUUUUGUAUGAGCUUGUAAUUUCUACUCAUAUUGUGUCAUUUGAUCAAAUAAUUCAUUGAGUAAAGAAAAUGAAUUAUUAGUUCUUACGUGUUUUCUUAAAUGGGAAGUUUUAUCAUUUUUGGUUAGGUUUAGACCCUCACACUGCCGUUUUAGAGAAGUCAUCUAUUCGUAUUCACAAAAUGGUAUGAUUACUCACUGCUGGACUGAUUGUACUUAAAAUUCUCAAGACAUUAAGAAUAACUCUAUUUUGUUUUGGAUAGCCGCAAUGGCCAACUAGUGUUCGAAGUCUGCCAAAGAUACUUCGUCCCUUAAUGCUUAUGCUCAAGACAAUUGUUAAAUUUUUUUUGCUGCUUUGGUAUAUUUGCAUGAAGAUACCGGCUCCUAAUGUCUUUAUCGUCCAGGUGAGCUUCAAACUUGUGCUCAUUCAGUCAUUAGAAAAGUGACAUCUAAUGGGAUCAUAAUUUUUUGUUAACUCACUGUCAUAUGAUUGGCUUUAGUUUUAUGCUAAUGUUGAAUUUUGUGAAACUUUUUGGUUAGGUUCAUGCCCUCACACUGCCAUUUUAGAGAAAUCAUCUAUGUAUGUAUUGCUUCCUUCGACUGGAGUUGCAGAGGAAUUUACAAUUCAAUUGAGAAAAUCAAACUUGCACAACCAGUUUGUGAUUGGAAAGCACAAGUUAUGGAGCCACGCCAUGUUUUGCACACAUUUUUUUGCAUUAGAAUAGAGGGGAUGUUCCCAUAAAAAUUAAAAAAAAAAAAAAAUUGGAAUAGAGGGGAUGUUAUUUUCUUGGAUAUGAUACUUGAUUGUGAGUAUAAUAGCAUCAAAUGUGUUAUUUGCCUCAAAAGGAUUAUAUACUUUUGAAGUAAUUUGUACGCCUGAGG
rnacentral:lncRNA from 1 species